rnacentral:rRNA from 1 species
UACGUAGGUGGCAAGCGUUGUCCGGAUUUAUUGGGCGUAAAGCGAGCGCAGGCGGUUUCUUAAGUCUGAUGUGAAAGCCCCCGGCUCAACCGGGGAGGGUCAUUGGAAACUGGGAGGCUAGAGUGCAGGAGAGGAAAGCGGAAUUCCCAGUGUAGCGGUGAAAUGCGUAGAGAUUGGGAGGAACACCAGUGGCGAAGGCGGAUUACUGGACGACAACUGACGGUGAGGCGCGAAAGCGUGGGGAGCAAAC